rnacentral:tRNA from 1 species
GUGCCGGUAGCUCAGCUUGGGAGAGCGCAGGACUGUGGAUCCUGAGGUCGCGGGUUCGACUCCCGCCCGGCACC